rnacentral:rRNA from 1 species
UGCAGGCUGCAACCCGCCUGUAUGAAGUUGGAAUCGCUAGUAAUCGCGGAUCAGCAUGCCGCGGUGAAUACGUUCCCGGGCCUUGUACACACCGCCCGUCACACCAUGAGAGUCGGGAACACCCGAAGUCCGUAGCCUAACCGCAAGGGGGCGCGGCCGAAGGUGGGUUCGAUAAUUGGGGUGAAGUCGUAACAAGGUAUC